rnacentral:lncRNA from 1 species
AAGACAGUAUGGAGCAAUUCAGAAAGAAAAAGGCUGCGAGCGCGAUCCUCACUGAAGUCUGCGGUAACUCUUACAGAGUUCGUGGUCCCGAAUGUCCCCCCAGCCUCCGUUUUUCACGUGGGGGGACAGGGGUGCCAUGGAGUACCUUUUACUGAUACUCAUGGCUUCGGGGAACAGGUACUGUCGGUUGCUGUUCAAGAGAGAGUCGAUUUUGGCACUCUGGGUGGACGGUCUGCAGGAUUUCUUGUGGUGCAUGCCACAGUCCCCCGUGUGGAAAAUCCUGGGGAUUUCGGGGACCAGCACUUUCCAGAACUUUGGAAGACAGGAGACAGUCAAGUGCUGCAGAGUCCAGUCCCAGUUGUAGUCAUCGUAGGUGCAGAAGGCGUCCGUGCACUCGAUGAGCUUCUGGUAGGUGUCUCUGCCGAAGGCCAUGCCCAUGUUGUGCUCGGUGGACUUCCACGUCUUCAUCUCCACCUUGUCGGCGCGGCCGGCGAAGCCGCCGCGCACGGGGCCGUAGGUGCCCAGCGAGACGAUCUGGCACUCGGGGCACUCGCGCUCGCGCAGCGCCCACAGCUUUUUGAGGACGUGGUAGAAGUCGGGCGCCAGGUAGUGGUCCUCCUCCAGGAAGACGACGGGCCCGGCGUGCUCGCGCAGCGCCCGCACCCGCUCCCAGACGAAGUGCAGCUUCCACCACCAGUGGUGCUUGGUCUGCGAGAAGCGGGCCUCGCGGUAGUGCCCGAAGGAGUCGGGGUACUCGGCGUUGAUGCAGCCCAGCCGCAGGGCCGCCGCCUUGCCCACGUCGCGGGGGCAGUCGCGGGGGUCGUGCCCGGGGAACUCGCGGGGGUAGAGCUGGAUGCUGAAGGGGAAGAAGACCUGCAGCACCGGGCAGAAGUCCACGCCGGCCGCCAGCCGGUUCAGCUCCUCGGCCCACAGGUCGUGGCUCAGCACCAGCAGCACGUUCUCCACGCCCGCCGCCCGCCGCAGCGACUCGAGCAGCAGCCGCAGGUGCUCGGCGCGAUCGUGCACCUGCACCACCAGCACCACGUCGGCGGCACCGCCACCGGCACCGGGGGCCCGGGCCGGGAAGCGCCCCGCGUUGCUCAGCGGCUGGUCGAAGUUGAGCCGGUAGACGAGCGAGCGGUAGCUCCGCGUCCCGUUCUCGGCGGGCAGCGGCACGAGCUGGGGGACGGCGGCGGCCGAGGCCGAGGCGUUGNNNNNNNNNNNNNNNNNNNNCACCGGGGGCACCGGGCACCGAACGCACGCAGCGCGGGGCUCCCGGUGCCCAACGCCCCCGGGGACCCUGGGGCCGGUGGGGACGUCGAGGAGCGGCCCCGGGACGCGCCGGUCCUGGGCAACCCCGGUCCUAGGACGCCCCCAGGUUCCCCCCCCCCGGCCAAAGCACAAGGACGCGGACACCGGGAAGGUUGA